rnacentral:rRNA from 1 species
UACGUAGGUGGCAAGCGUUGUCCGGAUUUACUGGGUGUAAAGGGCGUGUAGCCGGGCUGCCAAGUCAGAUGUGAAAUCCGGGGGCUCAACCCCCGAACUGCAUUUGAAACUGUUGGUCUUGAGUAUCGGAGAGGCAGGCGGAAUUCCUAGUGUAGCGGUGAAAUGCGUAGAUAUUAGGAGGAACACCAGUGGCGAAGGCGGCCUACUGGACGGUGACUGACGCUGAGGCUCGAAAGCGUGGGGAGCAAACAGG